rnacentral:rRNA from 1 species
GUAGUCUGCAACCCGACUACAUGAAGCUGGAAUCGCUAGUAAUCGCAGGUCAGCAUACUGCGGUGAAUACGUUCCCGGGUCUUGUACACACCGCCCGUCACACCAUGGGAGCCGGAAAUGCCCGAAGCCAGUGACCCAACCUUAGGGAGGGAGCUGUCGAAGGUGGAGCCGGUAACUGGGGUGAAGUCGUAACAAGGUAGC